rnacentral:rRNA from 1 species
GUAGUCAUAUGCUUGUCUCAAAGAUUAAGCCACGCAUGUCUAAGUAUAAGCAAUUAUACCGCGAAACUGCGAAUGGCUCAUUAAAUCAGUUAUCGUUUAUUUGAUAGUAUCUUACUACAUGGAUAACCGUGGUAAUUCUAGAGCUAAUACAUGCUAAAAAUCCCGACUUCGGAAGGGAUGUAUUUAUUAGAUUAAAAACCAAUGCCCCUCGGGGCUCUCUGGUGAUUCAUAAUAACCUCUCGAAUCGCACGGCCUUGCGCCGGCGAUGGUUCAUUCAAAUUUCUGCCCUAUCAACUUUCGACGGCUGGGUCUUGGCCAGCCGUGGUGACAACGGGUAACGGGGAAUA